AUUUCUGCGUUUUUGGGAUUGGCCCUUGCAGGUGCUGCGGCAGCGUGAAAUCUUGGGAGCAAGUGCAGUUUUCCACUUGUGAUGACGAAAACUGUACUCCUGGCCAUUUUUUCUCUAUUGUUGUUGUGGGUGAACCAAACCAAGAUGAGGAGGAUUAUACAGUUUAUCUCUGCCAUGCAGGGGAUUUCCCAUUCCACCUGCCGAUCGCAUCUUUCACACCAGAAACUCCAUCUUUCAUCAGACUCUCAGUUAGAACCUGUCAACUCUCUCAUGUACACUCUCAUGUUUUUUCUUCCUGCCCACACAAACAUGCAUAAGAACGCCUAAUGUGAAUGGACACUGUUAUUCACACUCACGCACACCCAGGAGUUACAACACCUGACUCAGGUCUUCGUUGUCUGAACUCCUAAGAACAGAUUUGUCUCACACUGCCUGAAAAGGGAAUGGCAAAAAGAAAGAGAUCAAAAACACUGUAUUCACUGAGAACAUAUUCCUCAGUCUAAUCAGUCCGGCUCCUCAGAAACCAGUUCACUUCAAAAUAUUGGUGAAACUGAGUGAAAUUCCAACUAGGACUACUGUUUACUUAUUGCGCCCAUAUGUAUGUAUAUAUACAACCCCUGGCAAAAAGAAACGGAAUCACCAAACUAAACAAAUCACAGAUCACUGAAAUCAGAUCACUCAAACAAGUUCAAUGAAAUGAUUUGCAUUAAUGGCAUACUAAGUAGACUUGAUCUGGAAAUCUGAAAAUAUGCCAUUAAUUAAAGCAAUUGAAUUUGUUUGAGGUGUGUUCCAUGAAGCCAGAAUCUUUAGCUGUUAAUCAAAAAUUGUUUUGUGUCAUAAAGCCUCCUCUAAGGGUGGUGAUUCCAUAAUGUUUUGCCAGGGGCUUUGUGUGUGUGUGUGUGUGUGUGUGUGUGUGUGUGUGUGUGUAUAUAUCACUAUUUCCCUGACAAUAAUCAAAAGUGUAUUAUUAAAAAUGAUCAUUAUUUAUCACUUGAUAUAAUUUGUUGAUAUGUACAUUUGUUAGAAUAUUUUCUUCUAGCUCUCCUUCCCACUGUGAAUACCCCCCUUUCUCUACCGCUUGAGCAGUAGCAUCUCUCAGCAGUUUAUUAUUUAUUGACUGAUUGUUGUAGUGAUAGCUGCAAAUGAAAUGCAGUCAUUUCACGUCAUUUCAUUUUUCCUGGAUCUGCUACCUUGGCAGAGGUUUUUCUUCCUCCCCACCCGUAAUGGGAACCCAUCUUUUUUACUCUUUUAGAGAGGAAUAACAUUAACCUACAGGCAGAAGCUUCUUCAGCUGACUUGUAUGGAAUGACCUGUUCCAGCUACCCUUCAAGUUUGUUGUAGUGUGCUUGUAAAUAUGUUUCUGAACAUUGGACAUAUGUACUGGGAUUAAUUAAAAUCUAAAUACCUCUUCA
ensembl:lncRNA